rnacentral:rRNA from 1 species
CCUACGGGAGGCAGCAGUCGAGAAUCAUUCACAAUGGGGGAAACCCUGAUGGUGCGACGCAGCGUGGGGGAAUGAAGGUCUUCGGAUUGUAAACCCCUGUCAUGUGGGAGCAAAUUAAAAAGAUAGUACCACAUGAGGAAGAGACGGCUAACUCUGUGCCAGCAGCCGCGGUAAUACAGAGGUCUCAAGCGUUGUUCGGAAUCACUGGGCGUAAAGCGUGCGUAGGCUGUUUCGUAAGUCGUGUGUGAAAGGCGCGGGCUCAACCCGCGGACGGCACAUGAUACUGCGAGACUAGAGUAAUGGAGGGGGAACCGGAAUUCUCGGUGUAGCAGUGAAAUGCGUAGAUAUCGAGAGGAACACUCGUGGCGAAGGCGGGUUCCUGGACAGUAACUGACGCUGAGGCACGAAGGCCAGGGGAGCGAAAGGGAUUAGAUACCCUUGUAGUC